UACCUGCAGCUCAAGUGGUGGCCGCUAUUAUUGGGCCUAAAACGUCCGUAGCCUGUUUAGUAAAUGCUUGGGUAAAUUGUGUAGCUUAACUAUACGAAUACCGGGUAGACUGCUAAACUUGGGACCGGGAGAGGCUAGAGGUACUCCUGGGGUAGAGGUGAAAUUCUGUAAUCCUAGGGGGACCACCAGUGGCGAAGGCGUCUAGCUAGAACGGGUCUGACGGUGAGGGACGAAGCCCUGGGGCGCAAACCGGAUUAGAUACCCUUGUA
rnacentral:rRNA from 1 species